AUGCAGUAUUGAGCACCCUGUUCUCUGAACUGUGAGACCCGGGAGGUAAAGACUGCAGACAGCAAACAGACUCCUGGGUGUUUCUGAGGCUUGUGACUUGUACACAUGUUUCAUAGAAACCUUGGAGACAGUU